rnacentral:rRNA from 1 species
AUUGAACGCUGGCGGCAGGCCUAACACAUGCAAGUCGAGCGAGCGGCGGACGGGUGAGUAAUGUAUGGGAAACUGCCUGAUGGCGGGGGAUAACUACUGGAAACGGUAGCUAAUACCGCAUACCAUCAGAUGAACCCAGAUGGGUUUAGCUUGUAGGUGGGGUAACGGCUCACCUAGGCGCCGAUCCCUAGCUGGUCUGAGAGGAUGACCAGCCACACUGGAACUGAGACACGGUCCAGACUCCUACGGGAGGCAGCAGUGGGGAAUUUUGCACAAUGGGCGCAAGCCUGAUGCAGCCAUGCCGCGUGUAUGAAGAAGGCCUUCGGGUUGUAAAGUACUUUCAGUGGGGAGGCGUUACCUGAAGAAGAAGCACCGGCUAACUCCGUGCCAGCAGCCGCGGUAAUUC